AUUGAACGCUGGCGGCAGGCCUAACACAUGCAAGUCGAACGGAGAGGCGGACGGGGAGGUAAUGCCUAGGAAUAUGCCUGGUAGUGGGGGAUAAAGUACGGAAACGGGCGCUAAUACAACAUACUAUCAGAGGGGCCUCGGGCGGAUUGGCUAGUUGGUGGGGUAAAGGCCUACAAAGGCGACGAUCCGUAACUGGUCUGAGAGGAUGAUCAGUCACACUGGAACUGAGACACGGUCCAGACUCCUACGGGAGGCAGCAGUGGGGAAUAUUGGACAAUGGGCGAAAGCCUGAUCCAGCCAUGCCGCGUGUGUGAAGAAGGUCUUCGGAUUGUAAAGCACUUUAAGUUGGGAGGCGUUACCAACAGAAUAAGCACCGGCUAACUUCGUGCCAGCCGCCGCGGUAAUAC
rnacentral:rRNA from 1 species